UACGUAGGGGGCUAGCGUUGUCCGGAAUCAUUGGGCGUAAAGCGCGUGUAGGCGGUCCGGUAAGUCCGCUGUGAAAGUCGGGGGCUCAACCCUCGGAUGCCGGUGGAUACUGUCGGGCUUGAGUACGGAAGAGGCGAGUGGAAUUCCGUGGUGUAGCGGUGAAAAUGCGCAGAUAUCAGGAGGAACACCUAUUGCGAAGGCAGCUCGCUGGGACGUAACUGACGCUGAGACGCGAAAGCGUGGGGAGCAAACAGG
rnacentral:rRNA from 1 species